AGCCUGAGAGACGGCUACCAGUUCUAAGGAACGCAGCAGGCGCGCAAAUUCCACAAUGACAGUAAACUGUUGAUGUAGUGACAAGAGGUAACGGGGCGGUCCUCUAUGAGGCCCGUCAUUGUAUUGAGUAAAACUCAAAAUAUUUAACGAAACCAAUUGGAGGGCAAGUCUGGUGCCAGCAGCCGCGGUAAUUCCAGCUCCAAAAGCAUAUAUUAAAGUUGUUGCGGUUAAAAGCUCGUAGUUGGAUCCAUGACCUCGGAGGGCGGUCCCCCACUGGGUGCGUACUGCUGCUCCGAGUCCUAUCUGUCAGUUUGUCUGUGUUGCCUUUAAUCGGGUGGCACAGGUGACUGACGUGUUUACUUUGAAAAAAUUAGAGUGUCUAAAGCAGGCGUUGAAUGCCUGAAUAGUGGUGCAUGGAAUAAUGGAAUAGGAUCUCGGUUCUAUUUUGUUGGUUCAAGAGCAUGAGAAAAUGAUUAAGAGGGACAGACGGGGGCAUUUGUAUUGCUGCGUUAGAGGUGAAAUUCUUGGAUCGUAGCAAGACAAACUACUGCGAAGGCAUUUGCCAAGAAUGUUUUCAUUAAUCAAGAACGAAAGUUAGAGGUUCGAAGGCGAUCAGAUACCGCCCUAGUUCUAACCGUAAACCAUGUCGACUAGCUAUCUGUCAGCGUUAAUAAUGACCUGACAGGCAGCUUACCGGAAACGAAAGUUUCUCGAUUCCGGGGGUAGUAUGGUUGCAAAGCUGAAACUUGAAGGAAUUGACGGAAGGGCACCACCAGGAGUGGAGCCUGCGGCUUAAUUUGACCCAACACGGGAAAACUCACCCGGCCCGGACACCGUAAGGAUUGACAGAUUAAUAGCUCUUUCUCGAUUUGGUGAUUGGUGGUGCAUGGCCGUUCUUAGUUGGUGGAGCGAUUUGUCUGGUUAAUUCCGAUAACGAACGAGAUUCUAACUUACUAACUAGUUCCACGAUCCUUGUGGUCCUAAAUACUUCUUAGAGGGAAAACCGGCAUUUAGUCGAACGAGAUUGAGCAAUAACAGGUCUGUGAUGCCCUUAGAUGUCCGGGGCUGCACGCGUGCUACACUGAAGGAAUCAGCGUGUUUUUCCCUUGCCUGUAAUGGCUGGGUAACCGACUGAAUCUCCUUCGUGCUAGGGAUAGAUCAUUGAAACUAGUGAUCUUCAACUUGGAAUUCCUGGUACGUUUGAGUCAUAAGCUCAAGCAGAUUACGUCCCUGCCCUUUGUACACACCGCCCGUCGCUACUACCGACUGGCAAUAUCUUUGAGACACUUGGAGCGGCCGUGAGCUACCCUAACCGGUAACUCACGGCUGCGAAAAGGUUCGAAAAGGUUUUGCUGGAGGAAGUAAAAGUCGUAACAAGGUU
rnacentral:rRNA from 1 species